AGAGGGGGCAAGCGUUGUUCGGAAUUACUGGGCGUAAAGGGCGCGUAGGCGGCCUACUAAGUCAUACGUGAAAUCCCACGGCUCAACCGUGGAACUGCGUAUGAGACUGGAAGGCUUGAAUUCGGGAGAGGGAUGCGGAAUUCCAGGUGUAGCGGUGAAAUGCGUAGAUAUCUGGAGGAACACCGGUGGCGAAGGCGGCAUCCUGGACCGACAUUGACGCUGAGGCGCGAAAGCCAGGGGAGCAAACGGGAUUAGAUACCCCGGUAGUCCUGGCCCUAAACGAUGAAUGCUUGGUGUGGCGGGUAUCGAUCCCUGCCGUGCCGAAGCUAACGCAUUAAGCAUUCCGCCUGGGGAGUACGGUUGCAAGAAGGCUG
rnacentral:rRNA from 1 species